UCAGUGUUGGUGUAAACCCAGUGAAAGCUGGGGGCGCUAAAGCCCAAGGGCCUAAGGAUACAGUGGGGCCAAUGACCGCUGAUCUACGGCAGCCGGGAUGCAAGG
rfam:Thermincola sp. JR, complete genome.